UGAAACUGAAAUGAGACGUACCUGUUACCAGCUUAGUCUCCAUUGCAAAAGUUAGUCCAAGAACCUUACCAGACCAGACGAGACUGAGCAUGGCUUAGGAAGGGCAAAGACAUUCCCAGACUCCCAGUUGUGACUCCCAGCUGUACUGAUGGGGUAACACAGAAGACCACCGUUUCACUCUCCACUUUCAAUAACCAACACCACCAGCUGGCUCAAGGUGUUCCCAGUGUGCAGACCCACAGAACACACCAGAGCAGACAUGAGGAACGAACCCACUCCCGACCCCCUCCCAUAGGUCACAAUAUUGAAGCCUGCAGAACCCACUGGAGCAGACGUGACAAAAGAACCCACUCCCUACAUCAUGACAUCAAAACCAGGUGACCCUCUCAUACCAGGUGGAAACACAGGUAUGAGAGAUAAUGAGAGAAAAAGAAGGCCACAGAGACAUAUGGAGAAACACCAAGAGGGAAACAGAGACAGACAGAAGGACACCAGGAAAGCCAAAGAGACAGAGAUGGAGACAGAAAGAGGGCCAGAGAGACAGAGGCAGAACGACACCAAUAGGCCCAGAGAGACAGAGACAAAGACAUAGAAAUAGACGAACCAAAACAGCCAAAGAAACAGCGACCGACACAUUCCUUGGCUGUAAAAAAACGACAAAUAAAUAAAUAAAUAAAACAGAGGUCCAUAGAUACACAGAGAUGGGUGGUGGUGUGUUUUAAUGUUUUAUUCUAUUCGUCAACAGUGAAUAGGUGACGUACAGGGCGGCGGCAGCGGCGGGGGCGGAGGGAGCAAUGGGCUCACAGCAACGCCUGCACCGGGCGGACCAGGACAAGGGACUGGCUGGCUGACAGGCUGGCUGGCUGGCUGGAUGGCUGGCUCUCUGCUUCACCGCCACAUAACAAGAAGGGAUCCCAAAACUACACUAGUACAUCCUCUAACGCGAACACACACAAAAAAAGUACAGUAUCGUCCGAGGCGCAUUACGGCAGUGACCCCAGCGAUGCCAGUGACAGCGGCGGUGGGUCAGAGCGGGUCGGGGGGAGCCUCCUGGGGGCUGCGACACUCCUUCAGGAAGCUGAGAUCUUUGAAUGGCCACAAGAAGCCCAGGACACGAAGGAGGGGGUGAAGGAGGUGGUGGUGGUGGUGGUGGUGGCAGGUUACAGCUAGGAGUGUUAGUCUAGCGAGGAGACUAUUGACUAGCGGCUCUUUGCUACCACCUGACGGGAGCUUUGUGAACUGCAACAGACAGCCAAGGUUAUGGUUACUAGGAGGAGGAGGAGGAGGAGGAGGAGAACUAGCAGGGUAAAGCAGAAAGAGGAAGAGGAAUACUAGCAAGAACAGCAGGAGGAAAAGGAAGAUAUAGCAAUUAGGAGGAAGAGGAAGAGGAAGACUAGCAGGGAGAACGCAGAAAAGAGGAAGACGAUAGCUAGCAGGAAGAGGAAGAGGAAAAAAAGCUUGCAGAAGGAGGAGGAAAACUAGCAGGGAGAAACAAGGGAAGAGGAAGACGAUGGCUAGCAGGAAGAGGAAGAGGAAAAAAAGCUUGCAGAAGGAGGAGGAAAACUAGCAGGGAGAACCAAGGGAGAGAGAGAAAUGCUAGUGAGGAAACUGCAAGAAGGCGAAGGAAAAUGUGAACGGCUAGUCGAGAGAGAACCAGGAAAAGGGAAAACUCUGAAGAAGAAGAAGAAGAAGAAGGAGACGAAGGAAGAGAUAGGAAGUCGGAACGGAGAAAAAGAGAGAAAGAAAGGAGAUAGGGAGAUGAAGAAAGACUGACUAGAAUGUGAAUUAAAACAGAAAGUAUAUGGAAAAAUGCAUUAGUCAGGCUUCUAAAAACAAUACUAGAGAGAGAGAGAUAGAUAGAGAGAUCAGGAAAUAAAUAAAUAAAAAAAAAAAUAUAGCCGAACGGAUGACGAGAGAGUAGAGGAUAUGUGGGAAGGUUAACAGGUCCAAGGAAAUACAAAAUACACGUUAUGGCGGGUUGCUACGCUCGCCCCAGUGUGAGUGGGGGACGUAGGCUGAGGGGGGCCAUAUCUACACAUCUACAGAGGGGGGGGUGAGGAGUGGGGUGAAGUGACGAGGCCUAUGAUGGCGCGGCACUGUUGCUUCUUAUUUCACUUGUUCUGGCACUGCAAGGAGAACCAACAUAUUAACACACACCCCAAAGCAUGAACGGACUUACGAACACACACCUAAAGAGGGUCAGUAACAUACAUUGAAAGCAUUCCCAUAUAAAUUCCCAUUCCCAUAUAAAUUGAAGAGUUGGAUUCCUGGCUCCUUCUGUUCUGAUUCCAGCAUUUCAGGAACAGAAUCAGAUCCUACAGAUAUAUAUAAGUAAUAGAAUAGGACCCCACAAAUAUAUAUAAGUAAUAGAAUUGGACCCCACAAAUAUAUAUAAGUAAUAGAAUUGGACCCCACAAAUAUAUAUAAGUAAUAGAAUUGGACCCCACAAAUAUAUAUAAGUAAUAGAAUUGGACCCCACAAAUAUAUAUAAGUAAUAGAAUUGGACCCCACAA